rnacentral:rRNA from 1 species
GAUGAACGCUGGCGGCGUGCCUAAUACAUGCAAGUCGAGCGAACGGACGAGAAGCUUGCUUCUCUGAUGUUAGCGGCGGACGGGUGAGUAACACGUGGAUAACCUACCUAUAAGACUGGGAUAACUUCGGGAAACCGGAGCUAAUACCGGAUGAUAUUUUGAACCGCAUGGUUCAAAAGUGAAAGACGGUCUUGCUGUCACUUAUAGAUGGAUCCGCGCUGCAUUAGCUAGUUGGUAAGGUAACGGCUUACCAAGGCAACGAUGCAUAGCCGACCUGAGAGGGUGAUCGGCCACACUGGAACUGAGACACGGUCCCGACUCCUACGGGACGCAGCAGUAGGGAAUCUUCCGCAAUGGGCGAAAGCCUGACGUAGCAACGCCGCGUGAGUGAUGAAGGUCUUCGGAUCGUAAAACUCUGUUAUUAGGGAAGAACAUAUGUGUAAGUAACUGUGCACAUCUUGACGGUACCUAAUCAGAAAGCCACGGCUAACUACGUG